UUGAUAAUAAUGGAAUGCUGUGUGCAAAGUCUUGCGAUUGCCGGAGAAGACACAAAUAAAUUGUUGAUUUGUGUGCUGCUUUUCUGAAGAUUGCUCUGUCCAAACGUGAAGGCAGGAAGAUUAGUGCAAAGUAGCAAGGAAACAUGACUAUGAGAUUACUGGGUUCAACUGAUGGCUGAUGCAGCAAAUGAAGUGCAAGAGGCAUGCUGAACUGUUAGAUGUGACCUCCAAGGCCCUUGAUACCCACCGCCCCCAACUUUCAGAUGGAGACAAAAGAUUCUCAAGGGGAGUUCCUGCAGCAGCUGAUCCAUUCAGAGGGACCAAAGCCUUGGACCUGCAACAAGGCCUUCCUGUACUGUUGGGUGCUGCCCCUCUGAGUCCGGCUCCUUGAGGGGAUUUCUAUCUUCAGGAACCCUCUGGAGAGAUUUGGACAUUUUCGACUUGAGCAGGAAGUCCUGCCAUGUGAUGGCGUAUGGCUGCACAUUCCUGUGACUGUUGCUGAGCAAGAAAUCUAAAAAAGGCCUCCCGGUCAGCCAUGCUCACCUUGAGGCAGCUUCCUGGCUUUACCCUUCGGGGAAGGAAAGGAUGGGUGACUGCCUCUGAGGAGAUCCCGGUGAUGUUUCCA